rnacentral:misc_RNA from 1 species
ACACUAGAAAAUGAGAAAAGGCCAGAAGCAGAGGAUACGCCCCUGUUGGAACAAACUGACAAAGUGUAUACUGGUGAUGCUGCUCAAACGAACCCAACAGAGAGCUCAAAAAGCGAUAGGUCAUCGUCAUCGUCCAGUACCGAGAGCACAAAAAAUAAUGACGCAGGAGAUAGUGAUGCAAUCAAUAAUGGGGGCAUCCUUAAACUUGACUUCAAAUACAUUGACGUAGAGAGUAAAGAAAAUUCUCUAGAAGAUGUACGAGACACUGGAAAAGAAGAGAGCACAGCAGAAACUGUAGGUGAGGGCAACGUAACGGGUGAUGUCAACACCGGAACAGCGAGCGAGGGCGAGACAGCGGGAAAAACCAUGGAAACGGGGAGAAGUAACUCUUACUUAGAAACGGACAUAGACACAGCCCAUAAAAACGGGGAAUAGAUUUUUAAUUUAUUUUUAAGUUUAUAGAAUCGAAUGUGUAUAUACAUGUACAGAAAUGGAGAAUGAUCUCACUCAGAGUUUUAUAUUUUUAUACCUAUAGAUAUCAAUGUAUCUUCAUGAUCAAUUUAUCUUAUAACAUUGUCUAGUUUUUAACAAAGGCACUUGGAUUCAAAACCUUAAAAUUACCGAUCUCCUGCAAUGAAAACAUUAAGAGAAAUACAUUUGUGUUUUUGUCAUCAAGUGCCUAUGUUACUCAAUUGCCAUAUAUGAAUAUGUCAUAAUACAUUUGAUUAUUACUAGUCAUUGUCAAAUUUUGCUGACACAGCUGUAGUUGCUUUUCCUUUUUUGUAUAUAGUUUUUUUUUUUAUUAUUAAAACAGAAACCAGCAUCUUAUAAUUUCUAAAAUAAAAUCAAUGCUAC